CUGAGAGCGGAAGUUCCGGUCCAGGAGAGGAAGUUCCGGUCCGGGAGCGGAAGUCCCGCCUCUUUCCUUUCCGUUUUCUCUUCUCGCUCGCAUCGCAGCCGCCAUGGGUGUCGACAUCCGCCAUAACCGCGACCGCAAAGUCAGGCGGCGGGAGCCCAAAAGUCAGGAUAUCUACCUGAGGCUGCUGGUCAAGCUGUACCGCUUCCUGGCCCGGAGAACGAAUUCGGCCUUCAAUAAAGUGGUGCUGAAGCGGCUCUUCAUGAGCCGCACCAACCGG